rnacentral:rRNA from 1 species
GCCGGGGGAUGCACGCGUUAUCCGGAAUCACUGGGCGUAAAGCGUCUGUAGGUGGUGAUGCAAGUCACUGGUGCAAAACUCUGGCUCAACCGGAGGAAAGCCAGUGAAACUGCAUGACUAGAGUGUGGGAGAGGUAGAAGGAAUUCCCUGAGUAGCGGUGAAAUGCGUAGAUACAGGGAAGAACACCGGAGGCGAAAGCGUUCUACUGGAACACAACUGACAAUGAGAGACGAAAGCUAGGGGAGCGAAUGGG